AUUCUGGCUCAGGAUGAACGCUAGCUACAGGCUUAACACAUGCAAGUCAGGGGCAGCAUGUUGGUUGCUUGCAACCAAUGAUGGCGACCGGCGCACGGGUGAGUAACGCGUAUCCAACCUUCCCCUUAGUAGAGGAUAGCCCGGCGAAAGUCGGAUUAAUACUCUAUGUUCUUCAAUGCGGACAUCUAAGUUGAAGCAAAGAUUUAUCGCUAAGGGAUGGGGAUGCGUCUGAUUAGGUUGCAGGCGGGGUAACGGCCCACCUGGCCUACGAUCAGUAGGGGUUCUGAGAGGAAGGUCCCCCACACUGGUACUGAGACACGGACCAGACUCCUACGGGAGGCAGCAGUGAGGAAUAUUGGUCAAUGGGCGCGAGCCUGAACCAGCCAAGUAGCGUGCAAGGACGACUGCCCUAUGGGUUGUAAACUGCUUUUAUCAGGGAAUAAAGUGAGGCACGCGUGCCUUUUUGUAUGUACCUGAUGAAUAAGGACCGGCUAAUUCCGUGCCAGCCGCAGC
rnacentral:rRNA from 1 species